rnacentral:lncRNA from 1 species
GCGGCGGCGGCGAGGCCUGGGCGCGGUUAACGAUUAACGCCCGCAGGGUGAUGAGCGCGCACCCCCGGGCAGCCUAGAUGCUCUAGGAUACCAAGACGCACGUGGUGGGGUCACCCUGGUGUCACAGACCUGCUAUCACCGCCUCCCGAGACAGCAUGGACUGCCAGAACGUACCCCUUGUAUGGACAGGGAACACCGGGCCCUGCGAAGGGGGCUGAGGGCUUUCCCAAUGGUAAAUGCAGACCUCUGAGAAGCUGACGGGAAAGAGAUAAAGGAGACAACGUGAAGGCAACUCCACAAGGAACUGUUAAAUAGGAAAAAUAAAACACAGAAACCUGGAUGAUAGAGGACCCGUUUUUAUAAAACAAAGAGAACCGUU